UACGUAGGGGGCAAGCGUUGUCCGGAAUCAUUGGGCGUAAAGAGCGUGUAGGCGGCCCGAUAAGUCCGCCGUGAAAGUCCAGGGCUCAACCCUGGAAUGCCGGUGGAAACUGUCGGGCUGGAGUCCGGAAGAGGCGAGUGGAAUUCCUGGUGUAGCGGUGAAAUGCGCAGAUAUCGGGAGGAACACCUGUGGCGAAGGCGGCCCCCUGGUUGGAUACUGACGCUGAUACGCGAAAGCGUGGGGAGCAAACAGG
rnacentral:rRNA from 1 species